GUCUUUUCUCUCCAGCAACGUUCAGCCAUGAAGAUUCUCUACCUUCUUUUUGCUGUCUUCUUCCUGGUGCUGCAAAGCUCUCCAGGAUUCACGUGGAUCAUCUAUGACAUCAAUUCUUGUCGACGCGCUGGGGGUGACUGUCGCCCACAAUGUUACCCCUUUUUUCCAAUGAUGGGAUCUUGCGGUCAUCAGUGGAGCUGCUGUAAAAUGAGAAGGAUUGCAGAGUGAGCGAUGGCAGCAGAGAUUGUCGAUGCAGGAUCUCUGAGAAUAUGAUGGGUGACAUUGGAUGAUUUUCUUCUGGGCUGCAAAGAACCUCGCAACCCUUAACAAAUUCACAGGGGAGCGUGUUCUUCUUUUUCAUUAAUGUAACUGGUUGGCGUGCUGCAUCACACUUGUGUGUACUUUGAUUUGGUUUUGAGUGACAUGUGGGUGAUGUAUACCUAUGUUUUCCAUAAAAACAAUUUAUUUUUUGAAAAUUAAAUACAAAUAAAA